GGCGGCGUAGCUCAGUUGGUAGAGCACACGGCUCAUAAUCGUGAAGUCGCGGUUCGAGUCCCGCCGCCGCUACCA
rnacentral:tRNA from 1 species